CCGCACAGUAGCUGAUGGCCUGCCACACCCUUGCUGUGGGUGUGUCAUCGAGCAGCGCCCGGUGCCCACAUCCAAGCGCGUCUGGGUCCACUACUUUUGGCUGGAGGAAUGAAAAUGUGCGGGUCGGCCUCAAUUUAUUCCUUUUUUCCAAAUGCCAAAAUGCCUGUUUAUUCCUUUUAAGUAAAUUAUUACUUCAAAAAAACCCUGGGCAUGGCAGGUCAGUGCAGCACCUAAGCAUGACCUGGUUGACAGGCUCGCUCUGCUCGCUAGAUGGUAAUCGGCAAAGAAGUGGUCAUAGAUUUUGGCGUGCGGGUGUAUGGGGGCUGCACUCAAAACAAAAGCAAACCAACACUUACUAGAUGACGAACCCAAAAUGAUUAGCAUGGCGCUUUCCUUCAGAGACCUGUCACGUGCAUUACCGUUAUUAUUAUAUUAUUAUUGUUACACUGGUGUCCGCUCAACCUGGCGUGUGUUAAGGGGGGAACGCUCUGAGGUCUGCACCUAGUCAGUCCUAUAUGCUAUAUUCCCACCGCGCAUUACCGUUAUGCAUGAAGGGAAGGUAGCAACAACAAAGCCAUAAUUGAUUUAAGGGUCUGCAAUCUUAGCGGUAGCUAGGAUUUGGUCCUGGGG
rnacentral:lncRNA from 1 species